AGAAUGGAUGCGAGCUCGGGGAGGGGGCCGCGAGCUCAUCUACCUUGCUGCUGGUCUUGGUCGACUGGAUCAAUCCUAGAGGAGUGGGGGAGGGGGUGGCGAGCUCGAGUAGAAGGAAGAGGUUGGGUGUCUGGAUCCUAGGGGAGUGGAGCCGUAGAGGCGCCUCUGGCGAACAGCGCCAGCAGCUGCUCCUCCCCUCCUCCAACGAGGGUAACUACAGGAGGGGAGGGUGAGAAGGGAGGGAACAUGCCUGAUGCUCAGUCUGUUUCUCUGCGUCGAGGUAGGACGCAAGCGCUGCCGCCACCAUCGUUGCCCCAAGGUAGCUGUGUCGACGAGGAGCAUUGGAUGUGGGCGGACGUCCACGGGAAGAGGGGAGCGGUUCCCGUACUCCUGCGGAGGAAGAUGGGCGGCGCGACGAGCGAUUGCCUCCAGUGGUGGCAGAUCCCCUCCAUGGCGUCCAUGAUGACGGCAGGCACCAUGGUGCCUAUCUGGCCAACACCAACCUUGCUUCCACCGGAUCCCCUGGGUCACUCAUCGAACCAGAACUCCAACAUUGCAUCCAUGUCUCCGCACAAGCACAAUUAAUGGCUUGCUCACGCCACCAUUGUAUGGUUCUUCAGUUUCUUGUUCGCUCUGUCCAAUUAUUAUGAAGUACUAGAAGGCAUCCACCUUGGUUGCAACCCCUCAAUGUUCCACGUAAUUUUAUUUUAAUCUUUCUUAGUCUGCUCUUGUGGAUCUCUCACAUCCUCUGAACCCCGCACAUUCAUUUGCUGAUUAUAGUUUGUAGGCUGUAAAUUAUUUUUCUGGUUCGCUCCCCAGAUCUCUACAGUUUGCUAGCUUGGGAGAACACUGGUAUUGAGGCUGAGCUGUUGAGGGCUCUGAAGUUGUGUGUGUUGCUGCCGUUUUCGUUGCCAUCACAGUCGUUUUGGUCGCUCAUCAGGCUGCUGUCACCGCGAGUCUUCAUCUUAGUUGCCGUCUGACAACACCAGUACAACCUCCAUCAGUCACAGCCAAUUGAUGCACUGAACAUCCAGCAAAUGGCUGAACUGCAGCCUCGAUUCCCCGCCAUUCUCCGCUCUAAACAACCGCUCUAAUUCCUUGUUCAACGCCAAGGAUCUCACCAUGGGGUGCAUUAAUGUACUCAUCAACCCACAAGACCAGCCUCCUUCCCCACCGAGGUGGUUGUUGCCUACAAGCCUCCACAAGUGGCAUCGCCUGCAUCUCCUCUGUGUGUUCCCAUCUCUCUAUGCUGCACAAGGAUGUAUUGUGACUUGCAUUUUUCUACCUUGCUCUAAAUUUAAUUUGAUUGGGAUUGUUUGAUUGAAUGUCAAAUAAAGAUCAACUUUGUCUCUGAUCUAUUCAUGGAAGUGUAUGCUGAAUUA